AAUUUCCCCAGAUCCAAAACUUGCUGUUCGCAUCCACACCACCAAUGGGAUUCCCGUCAAACGGCGCCGCAUCAGAAACCACCAAGCCUCUCAAGUUCCUCAUCUAUGGGCGCACCGGCUGGAUAGGUGGUCUCUUGGGGAAGCUCUGCGACUCCCAGGGAAUCCACUACACCUACGGCUCCGGUCGCCUCGAAAAUAGAGUCUCACUCGAAGCUGACAUCGCCAACAUCAAGCCUACUCAUGUAUUCAAC
rnacentral:lncRNA from 1 species